rnacentral:rRNA from 1 species
CCUACGGGAGACAGCAGUCGAGAAUCAUUCACAAUGGGGGAAACCCUGAUGGUGCGACGCCGCGUGGGGGAAUGAAGGUCUUCGGAUUGUAAACCCCUGUCAUGUGGGAGCAAAUUAAAAAUAUAGUACCACAAGAGGAAGAGUCGGCUAACUCUGUGCCAGCCGCCGCGGUAAUACAGAGGUCUCAAGCGUUGUUCGGAAUCACUGGGCGUAAAGGGUGCGUAGGCUGUUUCGUAAGUCGUGUGUGAAAGGCGCGGGCUCAACCCGCGGACGGCACAUGAUACUGCGAGACUAGAGUAAUGGAGGGGUAAGCGGAAUUCUUGGUGUAGCAGUGAAAUGCGUAGAUAUCGAGAGGAACACUCGUGGCGAAGGCGGGUUCCUGGACAUUAACUGACGCUGAGGCACGAAGGCCAGGGGAGCGAAAGGGAUUAGAUACCCUUGUAGUC